AUUGCUGUUUUAUGGAGACACUUGUUGUGAACAUUGAAGCCAAUUGUUUUAUGAAAGAUGAUAGCAAUACAUUGAAUGAUAACACAAAUACUUGAAAAAAAGGCUAAUAAGCAAUCUGUUUCCCUCUAUCAUCUAUUCACUCAAACUGUUCAUCUGUGAGGCUCCUGGUGUUUGUGCAUCUGAACUUGGAUUCCUCGGAACGCAGGAUGCUUUGUGCACGAUGAUGGUAUAGUGGGAUGCUAUAUAACAGAAAUCAAACUUUUGAAGACAUCUUCAUAAACCAAUCAAGAUGCCAAUGUCAUGCUUGGGCAGCUAUCCACAGUGCAUGCCAAGAUGUCUCUGUAAUCCCGG
rnacentral:misc_RNA from 1 species